rnacentral:miRNA from 1 species
UCCGUUAAUAAAGGCAUC